UACGGGGGGGGCAAGCGUUGUUCGGAAUUACUGGGCGUAAAGGGCUCGUAGGCGGCCAACUAAGUCAGACGUGAAAUCCCUCGGCUUAACCGGGGAACUGCGUCUGAUACUGGAUGGCUUGAAUCCGGGAGAGGGAUGCGGAAUUCCGGGUGUAGUGGUGGAAUGCGUAGAGAUCCGGAGGAACACCAGCGGCGAAGGCGGCAUCCUGGACUGGUCCUGACGCUCAGGAGCGAAAGCGUGGGGAGCGAUCCGG
rnacentral:rRNA from 1 species